UACGGGGGGGCAAGCGUUGUUCGGAAUUACUGGGACGUAAAGGGCUCGUAGGUGGCCAACUAAGUCAGACGUGAAAUCCCUCGGCUUAACCGGGGAACUGACGUCUGAUACUGGACGGCUUGAGUUCGGGAGAGGAUGCGGAAUUCCAGGUGUAGCGGUGAAAUGCGUAGAUAUCUGGAGGAACACCGGUGGCGAAAGGCG
rnacentral:rRNA from 1 species